rnacentral:lncRNA from 1 species
UGACAUAGGACAAACAGCACUCAGGUGAGCACCUGGAAAAGGCUGUUGAAGCACACAGGUGGGAGAAUUAAACAUCACAAUGCUCAGUGCCUGCUAGAUGAGAACUGAUUCCAGCAAUGCCAGUCACGCUCUGCUUACGCCUACAUCUGCACAGUUCUAGGUGGCUGUUCCAUCCCCUCCCGACCCUGGAGUACCCAUGGUGAACCUCAGAUCCUAAGCGUGACCGUGGUGUUUGGGUGCCAUUUCCAGGCUGCUGCUUGGAAGGUCCUUUUCGAAGGGGGAAGGCACUAGAACUACUUUAUGAGCAUAAUUCCUUGGACCGUAAUCAUCACCUGAGGAAGCCGCGUGAGACACCAGUUUUAGGGUAAGUUUAAGGCUACCCGUGGAUAUAUUGGUGAGAAUUGGUAAGAAAUCCCAGUUCUCUCUCUCUCUUCCUGAACUUUAAAUGGUUUACUUUGGAUCUUUCCCCCUUUGCAAUCCAGAGUCCUAGCCAAUAUAAAAGAACAUGGAAGGAAGAGUUGGAAAAUCUGGGUUUGG